AUGGGAACGCGAAGAACCUUACCUACUCUUGACAUCCAGAGAACUUUCCAGAGAUGGAUUGGUGCCUUCGGGAACGUCUGAGACAGGUGCUGCAUGGCUGUCGUCAGCUCGUGUUGUGAAUGUUGGGUUAAGUCCGCAACGAGCGCAACCCGUUAUCCUUUGUUGCCAGCGGUUAGGCCGGAACUCAAAGGAGACUGCCAGUGAUAACUGGAGAAGGUGGGAUGACGUCAAGUCAUCAUGGCCCUUACGAGUAGGGCUACACACGUGCUACAAUGGCGCAUACAAAGAGAAGCGACCUCGCGAGAGCAAGCGGACCUCAUAAAGUGCGUCGUAGUCCGGAUUGGAGUCUGCAACUCGACUCCAUGAAGUCGGAAUCGCUAGUAAUCGUAGAUCAGAAUGCUACGGUGAAUACG
rnacentral:rRNA from 1 species